GACCAGCCCACAUCCCAAACUGAUGUCCUCCAUAGUUCUGGGCAUAAGGCACAGCUCCAACUAAAGGUGAUGCCCCUGAGAACAGAAGUGGAAAAUCAGGCCUCUCAAAUUCUUUAGGAUCCAACUCAAGUAACUCAGCUACUGAGUCUGACCACACAACGAGCUGAGGAUUCUCCACCUCAACAGAAGGCAACAUUUUCGUAUAGCAUGCAUGCAAUACCUCUCUUGGAAUGGUAUCUGUUCUUGGAUCAGCAGGCAGUUCACGAACAAAUGAAUGAUCCCAAUUGAGCUCUUCAAGUUUCAACAUACGUUUACUGUUACUUCCAUCAUUUCCCAAACUCUGCUUCUUCAAUUUGUCAGCAACUGACUCAACCGUCACAGCAGCUGAUUCCAUUGACGGUGAAGAAGAAAACAACGCACGGCGGCGAUUGGGCUGAAUUGGGUAUGAAAAGGGGUUCUUUAGGUGAUGAAAAAA
rnacentral:misc_RNA from 1 species